rnacentral:rRNA from 1 species
UGCCAGCAGCCGCGGUAAUACAGAGGGUGCGAGCGUUAAUCGGAAUUACUGGGCGUAAAGGGCGCGUAGGCGGUUUGGUCAGUCGGAUGUGAAAGCCCCGGGCUUAACCUGGGAAUGCCAUUCGAUACUGCCUGACUUGAGUAUGGUAGAGGGAAGCGGAAUUCCGGGUGUAGCGGUGAAAUGCGUAGAGAUCCGGAGGAACACCAGUGGCGAAGGCGGCUUCCUGGACCGAUACUGACGCUGAGACGCGAAAGCGUGGGGAGCAAACAGGAUUAGAUA